ensembl:snRNA U4 U4 spliceosomal RNA
AGCUUUGUACAGUGACAGUAUCAUAGCUAAUGAGGUUUAUCUGAGGCAUGAUUAUUGCUAAUUGAAAACUUUAUUUCUUGGG